rnacentral:rRNA from 1 species
AUAUUGCCCUAUGGGGGCAACCCUGAUCCCGCCAUCCCCCCGUCGUGAAUAAGGUCUUCGGUUUCUCCAUCACCUUCAGUUGGUCGGUAGGUCUUUAGGCUAAUACCCUGAAGUUUUGACGUUACCACCAGACUAAGCACCGGCUACCUCUGUGCCAGCAGCCGCGGUAAUACAGAGGGUGCAAGCGUUAAUCGGAAUUACUGGGCGUAAAGCGCGCGUAGGUGGUUCAGUAAGAUGGGUGUGAAAUCCCCGGGCUUAACCUGGGAAGUGCUUGCAUAACUGCAGAGCUAGAGUACGGUAGGGGGUAGUGGAAUUUGCUGUGGAGCGGUGAAAUGAGUAGAUAGAGGAAGGAACACCAGUGGCGAAGGCGAAUACCUGGACUGAUACUGACACUGAGGUGCGAAAGCGUGGGGAGCAAGC